UACGGAGGGUGCAAGCGUUAUCCGGAUUUACUGGGUUUAAAGGGUGUGUAGGCGGGUCUUUAAGUCAGUGGUGAAAUCUCCGAGCUCAACUUGGAAACUGCCAUUGAUGCUAUUGAUCUUGAAUUCUGUUGAGGUGGGCGGAAUAAGUCAUGUAGCGGUGAAAUGCAUAGAUAUGACUUAGAACACCAAUUGCGAAGGCAGCUCACUAAACAGAUAUUGACGCUGAGGCACGAAAGCGUGGGGAUCAAACAGG
rnacentral:rRNA from 1 species